GAUGAACGCUGGCGGCGUGCCUAAUACAUGCAAGUCGAGCGAACAGACGAGGAGCUUGCUCCUCUGACGUUAGCGGCGGACGGGUGAGUAACACGUGGAUAACCUACCUAUAAGACUGGGAUAACUUCGGGAAACCGGAGCUAAUACCGGAUAAUAUAUUGAACCGCAUGGUUCAAUAGUGAAAGACGGUUUUGCUGUCACUUAUAGAUGGAUCCGCGCCGCAUUACCUAGUUGGUAAGGUAACGGCUUACCAAGGCAACGAUGCGUAGCCGACCUCAGAGGGUGAUCGGCCACACUGGAACUGAGACACGGUCCAGACUCCUACGGGAGGCAGCAGUAGGGAAUCUUCCGCAAUGGGCGAAAGUCUGACGGAGCAACGCCGCGUGAGUGAUGAAGGUCUUCGGAUCGUAAAACUCUGUUAUUAGGGAAGAACAAAUGUGUAAGUAACUAUGCACGUCUUGACGGUACCUAAUCAGAAAGCCACGGCUAACUACGUG
rnacentral:rRNA from 1 species